UACGUAGGGUGCAAGCGUUGUCCGGAAUUAUUGGGCGUAAAGAGCUCGUAGGCGGUCUGUCGCGUUCUGCUGUGAAAACUCGGGGCUUAACCCCGGGCCUGCAGUGGGUACGGGCAGACUAGAGUGCGGUAGGGGAGACUGGAAUUCCUGGUGUAGCGGUGAAAUGCGCAGAUAUCAGGAGGAACACCGGUGGCGAAGGCGGUUCUCUGGGGCCUGUACUGACGCUGGAGGAGCGAAAGCGUGGGGGAGCGAAACAGG
rnacentral:rRNA from 1 species